ensembl:lncRNA
GCGGGAGGAAUGCAGACGGCAGGGCUGCCCUGUGGUCACGUCUCCGCCCCACCGACGGAGAUAUUUUUCCCCGAACAAUUUGAGGGUAAGUUACACAUAUCGUGGCCUUUAUCCCUAAAUAAUUUCAGCCUGUGUUUCCUAAGAAUAAGGACAUUCUCUUCCUUAACCACAGUAUGGUUAUCAAUUUCAUAAUUUAGCAUGAAUUCAAUAUUUUAUCUAAUCUACCACCCGUAUAUAUCCAUGUUCCCAUUUUGAUUAGAACUAAUUCGGUUGAGUUAAUAACAUCUUUCCCAGCAUUUUUUGCCCUGCAGACCACAGGAACCAGGGAGGUCGCAGAACUAGGGAGGAGACAAGCCGUGGCAGAGCUGGGUGGUAGCCAGGAGGACAUGCUCCUGAGAGGGGUGGAGACAUCUGGGGACUCUCAACCCAGGAAGCAGAAAACCCUGCGUUUCAAGGAGGUUUACCAACCUGCACAGCCAGCACCCCAUCUGUCGCACCUGCCGCCCUCCCAACACACACUCAGUGGGUGGAGAUGAGUGAGUAAAACAUCGCGUCAGUUAUUCCAGAUGUUCCAGCCAGCGAGUCCCUGGCUCAGACAGGACCAUAGAGGGCCAGUGGGAAGGUGAUGGCCUGGGUUGAGGGAGCCUCUGGGAUUUAUGGUGGGUGGAGUUUCUACCCACAGUUUCCCUGGACAGCCCACAUCCUCCUCUCCCUCUGAGGUCUCCUCUAGAAACAGGCCCCUCAGCCCUGAUAUAUCCCUAUGCCUAGAACAGGGCUCGGUACUCAGUAGAUAUCAAUCAAUAUCUGGAACAAAUGAACAGCUCUUCUUUCUAUUCAGGAGACCAGAUUAGUACUUGGAUUUUGUGGCUCUGGGUUGUUAAUCUUGGGGUCUGAGGCUCUGCCCACAUGCUCCAUCCAUCCAUUGGCUAAAUCCAGCUAUCUCCACGUACCAGCUAUUGGAAACAAACAGAACUAGAGAGAGAAAGCCUGGUGGGGCAGAGAGGCGUCCCAGGAAAAGCAAUGAUCACCUGGUCUUUACACCAGAUGAAGGCCCAAUGGGUAUAGCUUGUAGUGAGAAGAUGCAUGAUUUGACAUUAAGAAGGACUUCCCAAUAUAUAUUUUGUUGAAUCUUAGAUGGUUUCCUUGUUGACCUGUCCAGAGGCAGAGGGAUGCCAGAGAUGACUUCUUGACCCUCCCAGAUGGCCCUUUGGGGCCUCCCAGGCCCAGCCAAAGUUUUGCCCACCAGGCGUGGGUGGUGGGACUGUGGAUGGUUGGCUUUAGCCUGCAUCCUUGGUGUGCGCCAACCAGGCCAAAGGUGCCCCACGCACUGUCUGGCCUGGGAUAGUGUCCAGACUUGGUCCCCAGGGUCCUCCCACCCCUGCUGGACAGCGGCCUCUCCCAGUGACUCAGCCCUGACGUCGUGGGGCGAGCGGAAAGGCCAAGGGUGUGGGAGGUGGUGGCUCCCUCCCUCCUGUCCUCACCUCCCUGGUCUCAGUCCCCAUAGCCUCCUUCCCUCCCACCACCCCUACCCUCUCUCACCCCCUCGUGAGCUUCCCAUGAGCCUAUGCGCCCAGGGCUGUUGUCUUCCCUUGUGGACACACGCCUUGUGCGUCUGGGUAUGUGCUGGGCCACUGCGGCUCAUGAAAUAAAAGAAGCACAAUGUGAGAGAACUCCUGGUCUAGAUCCCAAGGCCUCUCUCCUUACCUAUUAGGGGUGGGAAUGGGACACCUUUCUUGGGUGACUUGGGCAUUCUUGGUUCCACACUGGGGCCUCUCCGUGCCUCCAGGCCUUGGAUCUGCUCGUCUAUCCCAUGCCCCCCAGGACCUACCUUAG